rnacentral:rRNA from 1 species
AAAACAUUGCCCUAUGUAACAACAUAUAGGGUAAUUCCUGCCCAGUGAUAUAUUCAACGGCCGCGGUAUCCUAACCGUGCAAAGGUAGCAUAAUCACUUGCCUAUUAAUUGUAGGCUAGAAUGAACGGAUAAACGAAAUAAAAGCUGUCUCAGUUAAUUACCUAAAAAUUAUUCUCUAUAUGAAGAAAAAUAGAUAUAUUCAAGGGACAAGAAGACCCUAUAGAGCUUAAUUUGAUACAUAAACACAAAUUAUGAUAAAAUUCGGUUGGGGCGACCUAGGGACCACCUAUCUCCCUAAAACAAAAAGAUAUAUAAAUCCAAAUAAUGACCCUAAUAAGAUCAAAAAAACAAGCUACCUUAGGGAUAACAGGCUAAUCCCAUUCAAGAGUCCAUAUCGACAAUGGGGUUUGGCACCUCGAUGUUGGCUUAGGAUAUCAAUAUAGCGCAAAAGUUAUAAAAUGACGGUUUGUUCAACCAAUAAAUCCCUACGUGAUCUG